rnacentral:rRNA from 1 species
AUUGAACGCUGGCGGCAGGCCUAACACAUGCAAGUCGAGCGAGCGGCGGACGGGUGAGUAAUGUAUGGGGACUGCCCGAUAGAGGGGGAUAACUACUGGAAACGGUGGCUAAUAACGCAUACUAUCGGAUAACCCAUAUGGGAUUAGCUAGUAGGUGGGGUAAAGGCUCACCUAGGCGACGCUCUCUAGCUGGUCUGAUAGGAUGAUCAGACACACUGGGACUGAGACAGGGCCCAGACUCCUACGGAGUCAGCAGUGGGUAAUAUUGAACAAGGGGCGCAAGCCUGAGGCAGCCAUGCCGCGUGUAUGAAGAGGGCCUUAGGGUUGUAAAUUACUUUCAGCGGGGAGGCGUUACCCGCAGAAGAAGCACCGGCUAACUCCGGGCCAGCAGCCGCGGUAAUAC